AUGGGGUGGAGCUAGAUCAUUGUCUUCCUCCUGUCAGUAAUUACAGGUGUCCAUUCCCAAGUCCAGCUGCAGCAGUCUGGGCCUGAGAUUGUAAAGACAGGAGCCACGACACAGUUUUCCUGCAAGACUUCAGGGUACGCCGUCAUUGGCUACUAUAUUCACUGGGUGAAUCAGAUUCCUGGACAGGGCCUGCAGUGGAUUGGAAGAAUUUAUCCUGGAAUUGGUAAUACUGACUACAAUCAAAAGUUCCAGGGCAAGGCCACACUGACUGUAGACACAUCCUCCAGCACAGCCUACAUGGAGCUCAGCAGCCUGACAUCUGAGGACUCUGCAGUCUAUUACUGUGCAAGAGACACAGAGUUGCAACCACAUCCUGAGUGUGUCAGAAACCCGGGAGGAGCAGGAAGCUGCCCUGGGACCGACACGACAGAGAAGAUCAGCCUGGAGACUUGCUCAGAAAUAAUCAUUCUGAAUGUCCCUUUGUCAUUCACCGUCUUAUAA